rnacentral:rRNA from 1 species
UACGAAGGGGGCUAGCGUUGCUCGGAAUCACUGGGCGUAAAGCGCACGUAGGCGGCUUUUUAAGUCGGUGGUGAAAUCCUGGAGCUCAACUCCAGAACUGCCUCCGAUACUGAAAGGCUUGAGUCCGGGAGAGGUGAGUGGAACUGCGAGUGUAGAGGUGAAAUUCGUAGAUAUUCGCAAGAACACCAGUGGCGAAGGCGGCUCACUGGCCCGGUACUGACGCUGAGGUGCGAAAGCGUGGGGAGCAAACAGGG